UUGUUUUCACAUCACUUGUGACUGAUGUAUGAGAGUUCAGAUUUUCAGUCCGAAACAAUACAAUACAAACACAGUAACACUUGAUUAAACUUUUUGCCUUUCUAUUAAACUUAAGAAUCGACGUUAAAAUUAUCCAAUUUCUGUGACUACAUCAGCCUUGUUAACCAUUUGUGCAACAGCUAUCACUCGUGAAACCUAGUUGUGAAUUAGGUCUAAUUAAAAUUCAAUGAGAAUCUGUCGCUGAUUUCUUUUCAGGGCUAAAUAUCGCUAAAAACAAACAUCGUGUUGAUAACACUCCUCAUAACCUUCAGAUUUAGUGUAAGCUCUUUGCGCUCGGCCACUCCUCCAAUCUGGCCGAAGAAGUGGGCAGCAACGACGGCGUCCCUCCCGACUGCCUGGGAUGCCGGCUAGUCGGUGGUGGCGGUUGCCUCGCUGCUGCAGCUUACCUCGCGUACAUCACACGACCGCAGCGCAGGGCUACCAGAGUCGUCUCGCUGGUAGCUUCCACAGGUAUGGCCACCAUUGGAAUUGCAAGACUUCUCGGCUACAAAUCAAAUUCCCGACACAAGAGAUAGCUGAACUGGAUGGAUAUAUACCCUGUAGUGAUAUUCUCAAUUCUGUUGCUCCUGUAUGUAUUAGGACUUAUUAGUUGGAUCAAUUUCGAUGUGCCUAUGAAAUUUUAAUAAUAUAUUCUACAUGCU